UCCCGCAUGGUCUAGUGGCUAGGAUUUCUGGUUUUCACCCAGGCGGCCGGGGUUCGAUUCCCCGUGCGGGAG